rnacentral:lncRNA from 1 species
UUCCUGAUCAACACAGAGCAGCGAGUAAGACCCGAAUUGAACCUCAGCAUCACCCCUGACAGGCCGAGUGACCUUGGGCCAGUUACUUCUCACAUCUCCAAGCCUCAGUUUCCUCAUCUGGAAAGUGGGGGGAAACAGCAUUGCCCUCAGUGGGCUUGCUAUGAAGAUCAGAUAGGAAAACAUGGGUGAGGAGUUCCCUUCGUCACUUAGCGGUUAAUGAACCCAACUAGUAUCCAUGAGGAUGCGGGUUUGAUCCCUGGCCUCGCUCAGUGGGUUAAGGAUCUGGCGUUGCCGUGAGCUGUGGGGCAGGUCACAGACGUGGCUUGGAUCCCGAGUUGCUGUGGCUGUGGUGUAGGCUGGCUGGCAGGUGCAGCUCUGAUGUGACCCUAGCUUGUGAACUUUCAUAUGCCGUGGGUGUGGCUGUAAAAAAAGAACAGCAAAGUCUUUCUGAGGAACAGAACUACUCACGUUUAUAACCCCCAAGGGUCUAGCCCCAAACCUGAGGGGUGUGUGUGCAUGCAUGUGAGUGCAAGCACGUGCACGCCUGUGUUGUGAGUUAUGCCAACCAUCACACCAGCAGCAGCUAACACAUGAGCACAGGUGCCACCCUACAUGUGUGAUACACCUGACUUGCCCUCAAUAAACCUGUGGCUCAUGACUCCCACUUUACAGACAAAGAAACUGAGGCUCAAGAUGGCUAAGAAACCUGCCCAAGGUCUCAGGGCUAAUAACUGGUAGGACUGGGGAUUUGAACCAGGCUCCUUGAAGCCUAUAAAUCAAGCCCCUUUACCACUACUCUUACUUGAAAGGGUAGACAGGGAGCCCUGGUUAGAGGUGGCUAGUGGGGGUAGGAAGGUGGGUAGGUCUGUUAAGACCAUCGAGGAAGAGGAUGGCGGAUGCAAAGUUAGAACUACUCUCUUCUUGGUCUUGAUUGAACAGUGGACAUGCCCAUUGGCUUGUCGACGUACAAGCUGCUUUUUCUUGCAUCUCAAACUACCCAUCCUCAAUUAUCCAUGCUGCAUAUUCAUGACAAAUUCUUUAGCCCAGAUGACUUGUCACCUACACGGAUCCUUGGUCGUAACAGCCCUAAAAACUGGCUUAUAUGGCUGAUAUUUAUGAGGUAACAAAAUUGGCACUUUUUUAUUAAUUCAUUUAAUCCUCACCAUAAUCCCAUAGGAAGGUAUUAUUGUUAUCAGCCAAAUUUUAAAGAUGAAUAAACUGAGGCAGCGAGAGUUUAAGUAACUUGCCCAAGCUUUCAUAGCUAGCAAGUGGCAGAACAGAAUUUGAACCCAGGACAUCUGCCCUCUUAACUGACAGGGGUAAUCAUUAUUGACCACAUAUUUUUACUUUUUUUUUUCAUUUUUCAAAUACUUGAUAUGAUAAAUAAACUCAUGAUUCCAGUACUAUUUUCAAUUCUGUUUCACAGAUGAGGUUCAGAGUAGUUGAACUCUCCCAACAGUAUCCAGCCCAGGCCGCUGCUUGCUCAAACCACAGCUUUGCGAGAAUUACAAAAGGAGAUGUGCCUUACUCUAAGCAACUAUAGUGCUGAGUUUAGCUCACGCCUUGCUGACUAUAGCGCAAGCUGAAUUUUAGCUCCAACUUGCUCCCUUGUGCAGUGCACAUCAUGGGCAACUGUACAGAGAAGCACUGACCUAGCAGAUAAAUGGCAGACUUCCAAUUCCAAUCCAAGUCCGACUUGCAUCUGGCUUUUAAUCACUAUUGGUGCUCUAUUACACACCUCUAACUUAUUUCUAGAUUUCAGUCCAUUCAAGGCUGCUCAGAAAAUGCCUAGUCUGGGUGUCUGUAAGUGAGAAAAAGCUCUGGAGUUCCCGUGGUGGCUCAGCAGAAACAAAUCUGACUAGCAUCCACGAGGACACAGGUUCCUUCUCUGACCUCCCUCAGUGGGUUAAGGAUCCGGCGUUGCCAUGAGCUGUGGUGUAGGUCGCAGAUGUGGCUCGGAUCUGGUGUUGCUGUGGCUGUGAUCAGAAGCUGCUGCUCUGAUUUGACCCCUAGCCUAGGAACCUCCCUAUGCCAUGAGUGUGGCUCUAAAAAGACCAAAAAAAAAAAAAAAA